GAGACGUUUACAGAUAAAACACCUAACAGCUUUGCGCAAUUUCCGGAAAAUUCGUCCUCGAAAUCUGGAAGAUAUGGAAGAGUUUCAAGUUCUAUUAGAAAGAGUAUUGAUCGCCACUCAGGACUCAGGACCAUUGCAUGGACAGAGCUUGAAUUUAACAGCUAAAGAGAAACUACCAGAAGAAGACGUGCAAGCUUACAAAUAUUGGCUGAUGGACCACAAGCGUGAAGACAAUUUUGAAGCACUUGAAGAAUGGGUUGAAUUACGAGUGCAAGUUAUGGAAGAGGCGAAAGAAGAAACGAAUGGCAUUGGAAAAAAGACGGACAACCGUGUUGAACAGAAGAAACGCUUUCGAGGCUUCAAUACUAGAUUCACCACGCGAUGUUGUAUUGUUCCAAACUGUAAAGAGGAUCACCCCCCGUGGGUUUGUAAAGCUUUCAAAGAUCUACCCGUCCUAAAGAGAAAAGAAUUAAUUACUAAGGCUGGACGCUGUUAUUGUUGUCUGGCUGCUGGACAUCGAAGCAAAGAUUGCACCAAAACGAGACAAUGUGGUGUUGAUGGGUGCCUGAGUAAAGGCCACAGCAGUUACCUUCAUGUAAGCCCUCCAAAACGCAAGGACGACGUGGGAGGACACUUACGACAUGAUGCACCGACAUACGUCCCCCCAGGACAAUCGAACCAAAAUAGAGAGGCUCCUCGUAAUGAUAAGACACGUGAUGACAAUCUGCCACCAACCAAUUUCCAGCCCCAAGAAAGAACACAUAAUACAACUAAAGUAGAGAACGUCUCUUUAAUGGUAAUACCUGCCCUGAUUAGUAAUGGAAACAGAGAGUUAAAGGUCAAUGUAAUGCUUGACCCCUGUUCGACCAGUUCCUAUGUAUCAGAGGAAGCAGCAGAAGAGCUUGAGUUGCAUGGACAAAACGUAAACCUUACGAUUGCAGGAACAGGGGGCAUCGAGAUCCAGAAAAGAUCCCGCCGAGUGGAACUAAAUGUGACUAGUCUAGAUAGGUCAUUUACGACACCUGUCCAAGCACAUGUGUUAGAUAACAUUGCGAGCGACACACCAGCCAUACAGUGGUCAGAACUCAAGGAAAAGUGGCCUCACCUGCAGAAGAUCCCUUUCGACAAUGUUUCCAGGCGACAGCAGAUUGAUGUCAUGCUUGGCAGCGAUAAUCCAGUAUUCCACUACGUAUUAGAAGAGAUUCGCGGCAGCCAACCAAGUGAUCCCGUAGCACGCCUAACGAACUUGGGCUGGGUUUGUUUCGGGCCAACGUUGGUCAACGAGUUUCGGCGUAACUCUCGUUCCCACUUCACACGCACGUACCGUACCUGCCAUGUCGACCAGCAACCACCACCGGACGACAUUCUACGCAAGUUCUGGGAGCUUGAGGCACUCGGAAUCAAAGAAACGUCUGAGAAACAGGCUAUGACAGCCGACGAAAGAGCAGCAACUGCAACUGUAGCUGGAUCCCUAAAGUUUGAGAAUGGUUUGUACGAGGUAGGAAUCCCUUGGAAGGACGGAGAGCCGAAGUUGACUAACAAUUACGAAGCGGCGUUAUUAAGACUCCAAAGUCAAGAGAAAUCCCUCAGAAAGAAAGAUCCUAGCAUCCUGGAAGCCUACAGUAAAGUAUUCAAGGACUAUGAGAAAAAAGGCUACAUUCAGAAAGUGCCCAAGUCCGAAGUAGAACAGCAGUGGUUCCUCCCACAUUUUCCGGUCAUUAAGCCAAGCAAAGAUACGACUAAAGUUCGUGUUGUCUUCGACGCGGCAAUGAAGCAUGACGGAAAGAGCUUAAAUGACAGCAUACGGCCAGGUCCGAAACUACAACGAGAAAUAGUAGAUGUUCUCACCCGCUUUCGUCGAGCACCAGUUGCUUUGAGCGCAGACAUUUCUGAAAUGUUCCUGCAAGUUGGUCUACAAGACAAAGAUCGUCCCUUUCACAGAUUCUUAUGGCGAGAUUUCGAUCCUUCAAGAGAGCCCGACGUAUACGAGUUUCGACGCCUGUUGUUUGGUAAUACUGCCUCGCCAUUC
rnacentral:lncRNA from 1 species